rnacentral:rRNA from 1 species
GAUGAACGCUGGCGGCGUGCCUAAUACAUGCAAGUCGAGCGAACGGACGAGAAGCUUGCUUCUCUGAUGUUAGCGGCGGACGGGUGAGUAACACGUGGAUAACCUACCUAUAAGACUGGGAUAACUUCGGGAAACCGGAGCUAAUACCGGAUGAUAUUUUGAACCGCAUGGUUCAAAAGUGAAAGACGGUCUUGCUGUCACUUAUAGAUGGAUCCGCGCUGCAUUAGCUAGUUGGUAAGGUAACGGCUUACCAAGGCAACGAUGCAUAGCCGACCUGAGAGGGUGAUCGGCCACCCUGGAACUGAGACACGGUCCAGGCUCCUAAGGGAGGCAGCAGUUGGGAAUCUUCCGCAAAGGGCGAAAGCCUGACGGAGCAACGCCGCGUGAGUGAUGAAGGUCUUCGGAUCGUAAAACUCUGUUAUUAGGGAAGAACAUAUUGGUAAGUAAAUGUGCAAAUCUUGACGGUACCUAAUCAGAAAGCCCCGGCUAACUACGUG